rnacentral:rRNA from 1 species
GUGAGGAAUAUUGGUCAAUGGACGGAAGUCUGAACCAGCCAAGUAGCGUGCAGGAUGACGGCCCUAUGGGUUGUAAACUGCUUUUAUGCGGGGGUAAAGUGAGUGACGUGUCAUUCAUUGCAAGUACCGCAAGAAUAAGGACCGGCUAAUUCCGUGCCAGCAGCCGCGGUAAUACGGAAGGUCCUGGUGUUAUCCGGAUUUAUUGGGUUUAAAGGGAGCGUAGGCCGUCAGGCAAGCGUGUUGUGAAAUGUCGUGGCUCAACCAUGGACUUGCAGCGCGAACUGCCCGACUUGAGUGCGCGGAAAGCAGGCGGAAUUUGUGGUGUAGCGGUGAAAUGCUUAGAUAUCACGAAGAACCCCGAUUGCGAAGGCAGCCUGCUGUAGCGCUACUGACGCUGAAGCUCGAAAGUGCGGGUAUCGAACAGGAUUAGAAACCCUGGUAGUCC